rnacentral:lncRNA from 1 species
CCCUAGGCGUUCUUCGAGUCAUCCCUGUCCUCACCCUUCUACAUCCAUCGGAGUGAUCUAGGUUAGUCCCGAAACCUUCACUUCUGUUCUCGCCAUCUAGGUGCCCUUUCUCCUCCAUUUUUCCUCUACCGCAUCCCUCUGGCUUGGUCCCCUGCAAACUUUCCACCUCUUGUCCCGCCUGAUUUCUCUAGGAUCUUUAGGGUUUUCGUUCGAGAUGUCCUCCAGCAUCUCCGCCUCCAGGAGUUUGUCCUCCUCAGCCCC